AUGCAGCUGACGAGUCCCACAUAGGACGAAGCGCGCGUUCUGGAU
rfam:Schistosoma rodhaini strain Burundi genome assembly, scaffold: SROB_scaffold0009322